rnacentral:rRNA from 1 species
AACGAACGCUGGCGGCAGGCUUAACACAUGCAAGUCGAGCGCCCCGCAAGGGGAGCGGCAGACGGGUGAGUAACACGUGGGAACAUACCCAUCUCUGCGGAACAACUCCGGGAAACUGGAGCUAAUACCGCAUACGCCCUUUGGGGGAAAGAUUUAUCGGAGAUGGAUUGGCCCGCGUUGGAUUAGCUAGUUGGUGGGGUAAAGGCCUACCAAGGCGACGAUCCAUAGCUGGUCUGAGAGGAUGAUCAGCCACAUUGGGACUGAGACACGGCCCAAACUCCUACGGGAGGCAGCAGUGGGGAAUAUUGGACAAUGGGCGCAAGCCUGAUCCAGCCAUGCCGCGUGAGUGAUGAAGGCCUUAGGGUAGUAAAGCUCUUUCACCGAUGAAGAUAAUGACGGUAGUCGGAGAAGAAGCCCCGGCUAACUUCGUGCCAGCAGCCGCCGUAA